CAGAGCCGUGUGGCUUGUAGUGCCUUCUCGUGGCAGAUAGUUUGAUCUGCAGUAGUUUGAAUCUGAGGAUGCUGAACCUGUGGAUAAGGAGAGCCUACUUUUCUUGGACAAAUGCCCUGUGUCAGAAGAGUGUGGUAAACAGAAGCUCAGCUCCUUCAAGGAUGACAGCCUUGGUUACACCACCAGGUGUGAGCAUUCGGAUCACCAACGCUGUGACCUCGCUGUGUGAACGGGAGCUACUACAGGAAGGAAGCUUACAAAUGAGCUGCAUGGAUCCCACAUUUUGCUAAAAUCAAAUAGGACCUUUCUCCUCUUUGUUGAAUGCCGUAAUACACAAGAAAUAAGCCAGCAGGAUGCUCAUGUCCAAGGUUUCCCUUUAUCUACCACACGAGUUGGCAUGAAACAACUUCUGGGGUUCAAAUCUUCUGAACAAUGAUACAAGUCUUGGCAAAUUUCAAGAAUAAUUUAAAGAGGAAAUAAAUAGCUUUUUGUUUAACUUGGAUCAAUUAUCUCCUAUUGCUCCCAGCUUCAUGCCAGGUACUCUCCACUGUGCCUGGGAAAUAUGAAUCCCUGCCCUCAUGAAAAAACAUUGGCCAUGAGGAUUUUCCCUACAACCCAAGAACUAUUUGAAGUUUGAAGUCUUUCAGCCCAGACAACACUGGCUAUUUUCACCUUUGCCUUCAACUAUAAAGGCUGGGCUCUCUCUGCAGGAGUGGGUUACUGCUGGCAGAACAGAGAAAGAGAGAGAGCAGGAGAGAGAGAGACAGACAGAAUCCACUAGUAGAAUAAGCCAUGAUCACCACUCAAAACUUUUGCUACUACUUGAUCAGUACCUGGAAUUCUGAGGAAAACCCUAUUAGAGAUUGCAAAUCCAGUAAAUAAAGGCAGCAGUGGUACCUUGUUAAAAACAUCAAAUCCAAAGUGCUCUGAGGAGGAAUAUGUACGGUGUGUUCUAGGGACAGAAAAUAAGACAAACGUGGCUGGAGUAUUGGAAGGGGAAGUGAGUGUUACUAGAGAAGGUCAUGAGGUGAGGCGGGCCAGAUCAUAUGGGUCUGUGUAAGCUAUGGCAAGGAGUGUGGAUUUUAUUCCAAGUAAGAUGGAAAGCCUUUAUGAAGUUUUAAAAACGGCAGUGUUAUGAUUUGUAACAUCUGAGUUUAUGUUUACAUCGUGGCCAAAUUAUUUUAUAAAAUAAUGUAAUAAUGGUUCAACAGUUUGAUUGUGUUGCCCUUAAAAUUUCACAAGACUUAAAAUUUUCUACACUAUUCAUUUCAGUAUUGACUGUAAUUUAAUAACUCAAUUAGUAAUGUUAAAUAAAUUAUUUGUUACUACCUAUUGAAAUUAUAUAUAUAUAUACACACAC
rnacentral:lncRNA from 1 species